ensembl:lncRNA
UAUAUAUAUAUAUAUAUAUAUAUAUAUAUAUAUAUAUAUAUAUAUAUACAAUAAUGUCACCUGUUAUUGUAGGUAUAUUUAAACAUUUACCAUAAACAUUUAUUUGGACAUAGACCACAUAUUCAAUGUUUAUAUUAAGAGUAAAAUUAGAUUUUUUUUUCUGGUUUCAGUUAUAAGAGGUAUAUUGAAAGUCGUAGACCUGUGUUUUGUUGUUAUCAGCUGUCCCAGUUCUGUGCUGUCAAGCAUUAAUUAAUUUUUUUAUUUGAUUUUAUUUUUUUAUUAUUUUUUCUUUGUUUAGAUUGAUCAUCGAGCUUUAUCUCCUGAGCAAUUCUUGAGCAUUACGAGCACUACAGACUCCUCACUGCACAAUAUCCAACCAUCUAUUCAGAGCACGACCUGCAUUUUUCACUGCAGCUGAACACCUGGUUUUGGAUUUUCUCCAAGCAGCAGUUCUUCUGAAUUGUUCUUCCCAUCCACCCCCUCCAAACCCAUCCCCUCCACCUCAACCCAACCCCCCACCCACCCACCCAGCUUCAGCAUUUCGUGAAGUAAGUGACUCAAAAUAUCCUGCACAAAAAUGCUUAUUGAAUACAAUGCUUAGAAUACAAUACUCAAAAUAUCAGAAAUAUCAAAAUAUCCUGCACAAAAAUGCUUAUUGAAUACAAUACUUAGAAUACAAUAGAAAAUGUGACAUCUUGUAAAUCAGAUAAGUUUUAGCUUAUGGGGUCAACAGAUAUUAACAAGUUAAGCAUUUCGUGAAGUAAGUGACUCAAAAUAUCCUGCACAAAAAUGCUUAUUAAUACAAUACUUUCUGACUGUAGCAUUAAAACCAUUUUACAGUCAUUUUUAAUCAGAUCUGUUCAAACUAAUAAUGAAGAAAAGGUUUGUUUGCUAAACUUAUUUAAGAGAUGAUGUGAAAUCAUCUGCUUAUUAUUAUUAUUAUUACUAUUAUUAUUAUUGAAAAACAGUCAGAACAGAUGAUCAAGAUGUUAAACUUGGAUCAUUUAAUCCCANNNNNNNNNNNNNNNNNNNNNNNNNNNNNNNNNNNNNNNNNNNNNNNNNNNNNNGCUAAGAACUCUAUAUAAACUACAUAGUGACCAUCUGUGACAACUUCCAACCACCUAGUACCAGCAUAGCAACUACCCCGGUUACCAUAGCAACCGCCUAGCAACCACCCAGAGCACCCUAGCAACCGCCUAGCAACACAUUAGCAACCACCCAAAUUACCUUAGCAACUGCCUAGCAACCACACAGGUUACCAUAGCAACCGCCUAGCAACCGCCUAGCAACACCUUAGCAACCACCCAAAGUACCUUAGCAACUGCCUAGCAACCGCCUAGCAACCACCCAGAACACCCUAGCAACCGCUUAGCAACACAUUAGCAACCACCCAAAACACCCUAGCAACCGCCUAGCAACACAUUAGCAACCACCCAAAACACCCUAGCAACCGCCUAGCAACACAUUAGCAACCACCCAAAACACCCUAGCAACCGCCUAGCAACACAUUAGCAACCACCCAAAACACCCUAGCAACCGCCUAGCAACCACCCAGGUUACCAUAGCAACCGCCUAGCAACCACCCAGGUUACCAUAGCAACCGCCUAGCAACCACCCAGGUUACCAUAGCAACCGCCUAGCAACACCUUAGCAACCACC